rnacentral:lncRNA from 1 species
GUACAGAUACGGUUUGUAAGGGUGGUAAGCAGAGUUCAUACAGCAUCUCUCCGAAGAUUUCGCUUGUUGUUCGGCCUUAUCGAGAUCAACGUAUCUAUACUAUCUCUAUCUGGUGACCAACCCUUGCAAUAAACAUUAAUAGAUCACAGCUAAAUCCCAUCUAUUCUCCUUGCCCAACAUAGAUCAAAGUUUUUAUUUUUAUUUUUUUAAUAAAAACUUUAUAUAUAUCCUACCAAUUACG